GCUUCCUAAACUGCAGAUCUAGAGGGGUCAAGCAAGCAGACGGGGGCCUAGGUGGUUCUUUCGGGGCCAGAUGGAGAGAGUUAACACAGGACUUCUUUCCAUCUGGGUCUACAAGGCUGGAGCCAAAAUGGGGAUGCUCAGAAGACAAUGAGUUGAGAUUCCUGGAGGCAACAGGGUGGUAGACCGUGAGAAUGUUUCUAAAAGGAUCUGAUGGUCAUUCUGGUCCCCGGAGGAAUUACAGGGAAGCUGAACAGGUGGUUUGAAUCCUCCUUGCCUCUGAGACUGGCCAAGAGUGAGCCUCUGCAGCUAAGGAGAUGUGGGAACAGUGUGAUUUAGUCCUGCUCCCCCAAUAGCAGGACCUGAGCCCCAGUGAUUGAAGAUUAACCUAUAUAAAAUGAGUUUUUCUCUUUUCUUUCUAUUUUUGUUUCUGCAAUGUCUGAAUUUGUUGCUGCAUUUUUUUCCCCAGUUCAAACCAUGGUAAUAGGUUUUAGUUCCAGAUAAAUGGCAUUGUUUCCAAUUAGAUGCAAUGCAAUACAUGCCUCUGCAUAUGUAUCCCAUCCUCACCCUCUCUCCUCCCUUCUCUCCUCAUGAAGGCAGCAUCCCAGCCCAUCUAGUCCACUAAUCUCUUCCUCUGAACCCCAUAUAGCACUCACCUUUAGUAAAACACAUUUUGGAACCUAAAGAUCUAAUGUUUUUCUUGUUGAAAUCACCUUUUUAUAGUGUAAGGUCAUCUCAGGCCACCAACAUUCCCCAUAGGAGCUUUAACAAUUGCCUGCUUAUCUAGCCUCUCAGUCUACAUCUCAUUCAAUCUAUCCCCCCUCUUUGCCUCUAGAAUACUCAUUUUAAUCUGCAGAUUUGGUCCUUGUUUAAUACUUCACCGGCUAUCCUUUGCUUAUAGACAGAAGUCCAAAGGCUUAGAUUGGCCAGCAAAACCCUCCAUCAUGUCUUCUACUUGCACUGCACUCUAUCCUCUGUGCUGAACUAUUUGGAGUCCCUGAGUACAUCAUUAUUGCUCUGUUCUUCUGCACAUUUGAACAUGCCUUUUUCUCUGCCUAGAAUUCCCUUCUCCCUCAUAUUCAGAGCAGACUCUGUUCAACUUAAAGAUUCAGCUCAGAGAUCGCCCUGAGGAGCCUUCCCAAACCUGCUGGUUAGAUCUGAUCACACCUUUCUUGUGUGUUUGCUUGUAUCUUGUUAUUACCUCUAAUGUUGCACUUAUCACAUACUGUGGAAAUACUUUUUUGUUAACAUGUCUAUGUCGUCUACUAAAUCAAAUGCCCUUUGAGCCUUGGAUAGGGCCAGGUACAUAGUUGAUGCUCAAUAAAUGCUCGUUUUAAGAGCUAUAGAUAUAUAGCUAUGACAAAUGAAGGAAUAAUGUGUAACUUGUCUCCAUAUUGUCCUAAAAGACUCACAUUAAGCCUAUUUCCUAAAUCAUUGACUAUGUUCUCCAAAUUUGUCAAACUAAAAUUUAGCCCAGUAUUUAUAUUGAUGCCUUUAUAUUCACCCAGAAAAGUUGGGUCUGAUCAGAGUCAGGAAUGGGACAGAGAGAGGAGGGAUGGGAGGGGAGAAUUCCCUCCAUCUGCCUUUCUGAUGCCCAAAUCUACUACAAAUGGAGCCAGUUAUGGAAAGUGGUCAUUCUGCCACGUAGGAAAAGAAAACUUAUCUCUGUGGCUUUCUGCAAUAUACCAAAGUGUUGUAUGCUGUCCCCCUUCAACUGAGAAGCUGUCAGUCCAAGGUGGGAUGAAAGCUUCCACGAGAUCAAGCCAUUCACGUAUAGAAUCCGUGCACUGAAGCCCAGAUUCAGCCUCACACCUGUCUGCACCUUCUUGCCUCACUUCUGUUUAUCCCAUUUAUGUCCGUGAUGCUAGUUUGUACCCUUGCGCCUUCUGGGGACUAAGAAGCCUGCUGCCAAUUAUGCUUAUCUUCCAAUUGUUCCGUUGAAGCUUAAUUGGUGCCUUGUUGGCAGCAGUUUCACAGCAACCUAGACGAGGGUUUAACCUCUUGCUUGGUUGGCUGUAUGCAGGAUCACCUACUUCACUGCAAUUAGAGAAUCGUAUCACAGAGAUGAAUAGCGUGAUCACUUUCUGAAUUACUUGUGACUUGGUCUUAAGAAGAUUAUUUAAGAUUUGUUUUUUCUUUCCCCAGGAAAUCAUAGUAAUACCAAGAAGCUAAGAGGAAAAAUAAAUGAAGAGGGGAAAUUUAGGUCUUACUAUUCCUUAUAUGGAGGAUGGUGUCCACUGGUUAGAACACUGCAUGACUGGAAAAAUAGCACUUCUGUCAAGCAAAAUAAAACCUUUUAUAAAAGGCGAGAACAAAGCAAAACAAAGAACCCCACACAAACCAAAACGAAGACUCCUCCUAAGGGUGGAAUUUCAUACAAAAGUGAGUGGAGACGAGGUUGAUCUCAGCCCUCCAAAAUUUAUGCCACGUGAGAAUCCUCCUCCUUCAUUUACUGGAUAAGAAAGUGAGAUGAAUAAAGUGUACUGGAAACUUUCAUUUCCUGCUGCCUCACUGCUGCCUGGUCCCUUCAGAUGGAUCUGUGUCCUCCUGUGUGACAGGUAUUGGGCCAAGGUGAACACCUGGCCUAGGAUUGGUCCAUCCAUUGCUUACCAGUGACCCAGGACUUGAGUGGAUGGUCUGGCCUGAAUAGAUGAGCUACCACAAUCUGAUUUUCCCUCUCUGGACAUGGAUCCAGAAUAUUCAGCAGUAAGUUACCAACUCAAGGAUCUAUAGGCCUAAUGAAGAGGCUGCCAUUUAUGGUCAUGUUUAAGAUGGUUAAGUACAAAAAAAGUGAAC
ensembl:lncRNA